ensembl:lncRNA
GGGGAUUCCCACCUCUAGUAUAUGGGGGUGGGAAUGCACGUUUGUGUCUGCGUGCACCUGUUCGUCUGUGUCUAUAUGUCAGCUUGGGUCUUAGACUCCACCUCUCUGGGUGCAUCUCAGGCUCUCCGAGGUAUGGAGGCCCAUCUCACCACACUCCCUGCCGGUGGCUGAUGCCCUCAGACGUUGGUGUGUUGGUGGUUCUUGGUGUCUGGGGCUGAGCGCUCAUGUAUGUACCGGCUCACUCCUGGUGGCCGAUUGGCGGGGCCUGGUGCCUGUGGCCCAGCUGAGCCCCUUCCGGGAGCUGAGGUGCCCUCAGGCGUCUGCCCUCAGCCACGGAGCAGAGUGCUGGGUGACCUCUUGUUUGGGCUCUCAAGCUCUUCCCAGGAGGGUGGUACGGUUGCCCCCCUUGUGGUCCUCCUUGGGUCCUCGUAUUCUGGAUGUCUGGGGCCUGGAUCUCCUCCAUACCUGCUUCAUGCCCUGGGGGACAGAGCUAUGGCUCCCCACACUCCCUAGCAGAUCGUUACAUGGAGAAACCUUUGGAAUACAAGCGUGCCGAUCCACACAGGUGUGCACACAGGUGUACACACAGGUGUUCACAGACUAAAACUACACCUUUCUUGGCUGUUACCUCAAAGCACAUUGUGCGCUGUCGAUCUUGCGUGCUGCACAAUAUCGUUUAAUAUUUAGUAUCUACUGUUAUCUACUGCUAGCUAGUUUAUUGUGAUGGUGUUGUAUUUAUUAUUUUGCUCUUUCUUGUUUGUUUUCUCUUCUGUUUUUUUUUAUCUGCAUACAGGUGAUCAAGAUGUUUUUGUUUGUUUUUCUUUUUUUUUUCUUCCCCCCUUUCUCACCGUCUCUUCUCUCCUCCUCUAUUUUUCUUUCUCUCCCUCUCCUUCUUUUAUUCUUUCUCCCUGUCCUAUCCGCCAGUCAUGUCUGUCCCGUCUGUAACAACCGAAAAUCAAAUCAAAUAAAUACAUAAUUAUAAGAAAGGUCAAUCAAAUGGGCCAAUAUGGCAAGGCCAUGAUUCAGACAACAAUUCUGAUGGCUAAAGAUCCAAACAGGACAGGCAAAAAAAAAAAAAAAGAAGGAAAGAAAACUAGGCAAACAACUGCGCCAGUGUAAAGCAGCAGAGCUCCACCUCUCAUGAAGAAGAUGAACAGCAUCUCCAUUCCCCAGUAGUGCGGUUCAUACCCUGGGGUGAGCCAGGACAUUUAUUUGAGAGUCCUUUCUAAAACAGUGAGCCAACUGCUGCCACACAUCCAAAUCCAUGCUUGCUGGAUCCAAUCUAGUUACAUUCAUUUGUCGUAUGUCACUGUGUGGCACAAUGUGAACCCAAAUGCAGGACAGAAACUUCAAAACAAAUUUGCUACGUGUGACUCUUCUGAUCUUCUACAACUCGGACAAUAAAUACUCACCAGAUAAUGAGGGGAGAAAAAACAGCUAGGAGACAUAGUGGGAACAAAUCGGGGAUAACAAGACAAGAAAAGUAAAAGCACAAGAGAAGACUGGUUAGAUAAAUUAAAAGCCAAGUGGUAAAAAGUGGUCUCUCCUCCUGCUUUCUAUGAUUGGCCAUAUCAACCUUAUAAAAAUGGUUGUGUAAAAAUGUUUUAGAUCUCUCUGAGAACGUGUGCAUUUAUC